GAAGGCCAUUCUUCGCCUAAGGGACACAGCGGAAGAAGACACAAAGAUGGUUGUAGGAGAAGUGGCAAUGGAAACUACACUCAGGAUUCUUCUUGUCAAUCUUUGCUGGAAAUUUCCUUUUGGACUUACUCCCUGGAAUAUUAUUUCAGCCUUUGCACAAUCCAGAGGGAAGUUUCUACACAGAUUUAUAUUUUUUGGGAAAGCUUCAACCAGGAACAGUUGAUGAAGCAGGUUAUUUGGCAGUGUGGUCUAGAAGAUUGAGCCCUGGACUAGGACUCCAGAGAGCCUCUCCAUGAAGAAUUCUCACUGUGAUGUCACAAUUAGGAUAGCAACAACUGCUGGUUGCCGAGAAUAUGUGAGAGAUGAAGAGAGGCAGCCAGAGAAG